rnacentral:rRNA from 1 species
GACGAACCGUGCGAACGUUGUUCGGAAUCACUGGGCUUAAAGGGCGCGUAGGCGGGUUGCCAAGUCCGGGGUGAAAGCCUCCAGCUCAACUGGAGAAGUGCCUUGGAUACUGGUGAUCUCGAGGGAGGUAGGGGCAUGCGGAACUUCCGGUGGAGCGGUGAAAUGCGUAGAUAUCGGAAGGAACGCCGGUGGCGAAAGCGGCGUGCUGGACCUCUUCUGACGCUGAGGCGCGAAAGCUAGGGGAGCAAACGGG